UACACAUUUUGUGGUGACUUUAAAAUGAAAACAAAAGUGGGCGAUUUGUGUGUGUGCGUUUUUCCUUUUUUUCACUCGCCUAUUUUAUUCCUCUAUCAUUAUUAUACAAAAAGUGUCAAGUUUCAACUUCUGACAGACUUUCAGAAGUGUUGGUAAGUUCCCUCAUAUACUCGAAUUCUAUGACACUCCUAAUGAAUCAUUUACUAAAGACAAUAUUCAUUCUAGAGUCUAAUGUGAUCAAUUCCUCAAUUUAAAGUUGUUGGAUCCUUUUCAAGUCCUCAAUUUAGUUUUCCUGAUAUGAUCAUGAAUCUAUAUCCAAAAUUGGGAUGGUCUAGUCAAUAUAUCAUGAGUGAGUAUGUCGAGAAACUAGAGAAGAGUUAAUUAGGUUUAACUUGUGAGAAUUGAAGAGUCUAAUGUCUAUAGGUAAAAAGUCAAGAAGAAUUGAAGAGGAUUCCUUGAACUUUUUGCUUCCACUCUUCCCUCUCAAAUAUGCUGUCAAGCCCCUCCUGUCUUUUGGUUAUUAAUAACUUGUGAGUAGACAAGACAAACAGGUGUCUUAGUCAUUUGUUCGUUAAGGAAAAAAUGAUUUGUCUUUUGUGUUAGCAUUUUCUUGUUUGCUAAUUUUGUUAUAAAGGUUGCAUAGAAAACCCCGACCUCUAGUCAAGGGCUUAUCCAGCAGGGUUGGCAGUGGCCACGACCCCCAAGAAAAUGUGGAUUCUGUAAGUUGCCUAGGUGAAUACCAUGAACCUUAUAAGAAGGUAAACUAAAGACUAGAACGUGCCUUUGGGAAGAAAGGAAGGAAUGUCGGUAUGAUGAAGAUGAAAAAAGUGAGGGGCCGGGUUUUGUUCCAUGGUGUGGGAUAAAGAUAUAAAGAGAUGCUACAUUGUUGAUAAUAGUCAGUUAUUACCAAUAUAAGUAGUUUGGGCACACAUCAACCCUCCUUCUUCAGCUACUCUUUAGAAAGUGUAGAUCGAAUGAACAUGGCUCAUGUAGAAUAUAACAUUGCAUUUAUGAAAUCCAUAUUGAAGUUGGAACAAUAUAUGCUUCUUUUCAGCUUUUGGAGAGGUCAUGUUACAUACAAUUGGCUAUAUCUACACUCGAAACAUUUCUAGAGAAUUGCGAAAGGAUACACAGUAUAUGAAAGUACCUGUUUUGGUAGAUUGGGUACAAGACAUAGAUCCCUCACAAUUGAUGGCAGCCAAAGGUGCUUCGGCGUACAUUCAUAUGCUAGAAGAGCUCAGGGAUAAGAAGGAGCAAACAAAGACAUUGUAAAAGUUUGCCUGGAUAAGAAGGAUCACAUGAUAAAUACGCUUUGGAGGAUCAAUUUGAUUGAUAUUGAAUCAACACUCUCACAUGUCUGUCAAGCUGUUCUUAAGGAUCCGAACACCUCUGACAGUGUUCGAGAUUUACCGCUGGAGAUGUUGGGAGAUAUCUUUCAAGGUGCGAAGACUGCUUACCGCAGAAAAAACAGUCUCCGUCAUGAAAGUAAGUGAAUCAGGAGAUGCGUCUUCUUCAUCAUAGUCAUAAAAGUUCCAGAUAGAUUGUGAAGGAUUUACAAAGAUGCGCACUUCUGAUUUUAGAGUAUAAAAAAAGUGGUGUUAUUUUAUGAAAUAUGUCAUGUUAGUUACCCAACUGUUAAAUCUAAUUCCUGUGACAUGUUCUGUUGUAUUCUUUUCUCUUUCAUAAUUCAUAGUAAUGGUAUAUCCAUAUGUAAUUACUCCUCUUAUUGACUAUUAAGUGCACUUAGGCCUUUGUGAAAUUUUGUUUGUGUCUUUCAUGUUACCUAAAGUACUUGUAGAUCCUUUUUGAUAUAUAAUUAACAUCCUCAAACUAACAUGUAGUA